rnacentral:rRNA from 1 species
UGGGGAAUAUUGGACAAUGGGCGAAAGCCUGAUCCAGCCAUGCCGCGUGUGUGAAGAAGGCCUUUUGGUUGUAAAGCACUUUAAGCGAGGAGGAGGCUACUUGGAUUAAUACUCUAGGAUAGUGGACGUUACUCGCAGAAUAAGCACCGGCUAACUCUGUGCCAGCAGCCGCGGUAAUACAGAUGGUGCGAGCGUUAAUCGGAUUUACUGGGAGUAAAGCGUGCGUAGGCGGCUUCUUAAGUCGGAUGUGAAAUCCCUGAGCUUAACUUAGGAAUUGCAUUCGAUACUGGGAAGCUAGAGUAUGGGAGAGGAUGGUAGAAUGCGAGGAGGAGCGGUGAAAUGCGAAGAGAUCUGGAGGAAGACCGAUGGCGAAGGCAGCCAUCUGGCCUAAUACUGACGCUGAGGUACGAAAGCAUGGGGAGCAAACAGG